GUGGAAAUGACUACAGCCCCAUGAGAUGACUAUUAACCUUUGGUGCUAUAUUUCACAAGACAUGGCGAUAAUCACGUGCGAAAGGUGAAUAUGGCUGUCACUUUUUUGGAACUUGAGCAAUAAUUGAUAGAAAUGAUUGAGCAAACUCAAGAUGUAUGAAACAUGCCACGUCACACAAGGCAUAAGGGGCAUGCCAGACAUUUUAUAAUAGUUCAAUCAACCCUUGUGUUAUCUGACAAGAUAAGAAGUACUCUAGUCUAAAGAUCAGGCAUCUCUAAGUCAAGAUACUUUAUCAAAGCAAGCCAAAGUCCAAAGAAAUGGCAUAUGCUAUGUGUAUGGCAGCUAGACUGACUCAAUGUUGACAGCUCAAAAGAGCUUCUGAUACAUAUGAAGGAAAUUAAUGACCUGUGAGAUCAAGAACAUCACAAAGAUAAAGAGCUGACGACAGGACAGGAAUUGUAUGUAGCAUUGUAAAUAAAUUUCAAUGAUACAGAAAUGGGACUUCCUUGUUAAUACCCUAAAUCUUGCAUAUCAAUCAACAACAGAAAUAAACUGUUGACAUAAAAUAAUACAUUCAUUUUGAUAAACUAAUUGUGGCUUUGUUUUUAAUAUAAUAAGGCAUAAAUAACCAAUCAAUAGGUUUGUUUGAAGUAAAUCAUUGUGUUGAAAAUAAAAUAAUAAAGGUCAAAAGAGAUAGGCUGUGUGCACAUACUUUAUUCUUGAUUCUUCAAAUCACUUACCCUGGGUUUCAAAGGGAUUUUCCCCACAGAUUUACUGAAAGCAGCAAAGCUGUAAGAGGUUUUUUGUUUUCAUCCUCUCACUGUUUUGCUGCUUACCUUCAUGGCUUUGCCGCUUUCAGUAAAUCAAGAGAAAAAAUUCCAGUGGAACCCAGGGUACAAAAUUACUUGAAUGAAUUUUAAAUAAGAUUCCUAUCAGAUACUUAUAAAUAUACUCACAACUUUAAAUUUUGCUGACAGCAAUGUUACACAGUUACAUGAAUAAAAAAGUAGAUCUGGUUUGACACAAUAACAUCA